rnacentral:rRNA from 1 species
CAGCAGCCACGGGAACACCGAGGAUGCAAGCGUUAUCCGGAAUUAUUGGGCGUAAAGGGCUCGCAGGCGGUUUCUUAAGUCUGAUGUGAAAGCCCCCGGCUCAACCGGGGAGGGUCAUUGGAAACUGGGAAACUUGAGUGCGGAAGAGGAGAGUGGAAUUCCACGUGUAGCGGUGAAAUGCGUAGAGAUGUGGAGGAACACCAGUGGCGAAGGCGACUCUCUGGUCUGUAACUGACGCUGAGGAGCGAAAGCGUGGGGAGCGAACAGGAUUAGAUACCCGCGUAGUCCCUGUCUCUUAUAC